ACCCCUUGAAGACUACGAGGUAGAUAGGAAUGAGGUGUAAGCACAGUAAUGUGUUCAGCUGACAUUUACUAAUCGGUCGAGGGCUUGACCAAA
rnacentral:rRNA from 1 species